rnacentral:rRNA from 1 species
AUUGAACGCUGGCGGCAGGCCUAACACAUGCAAGACGAACGGUAACAGGAAACAGCUUGCUGUUUCGCUGACGAGUGGCGGACGGGUGAGUAAUGUCUGGGAAACUGCCUGAUGGAGGGGGAUAACUACUGGAAACGGUAGCUAAUACCGCAUAACGUCGCAAGACCAAAGAGGGGGACCGUCGGGCCUCAUGCCAUCAGAUGUGCCCAGAUGGGAUUAGCUGGUAGGUGGGGUAACGGCUCACCUAGGCGACGAUCCCUAGCUGGUCUGAGAGGAUGACCAGCCACACUGGAACUGAGACACGGUCCAGACUCCUACGGGAGGCAGCAGUGGGGAAUAUUGCACAAUGGGCGCAAGCCUGAUGCAGCCAUGCCGCGUGUGUGAAGAAGGCCUUCGGGUUGUAAAGCACUUUCAGCGGGGAGGAAGGCAUUAAGGUUAAUAACCUUAGUGAUUGACGUUACCCGCAGAAGAAGCACCGGCUAACUCCGUGCCAGCAGCCGCCGUAA